UAGGGGAAAAAUUAAUUUUAAUAAUAUUAUAAUAAAAAAAUUUUUAAGGGGGAAAUUUAGAGGUUAAAGUAUUAUUUUAGGAAAAAUGGAAAUAUUUAUAGUUAAUUAGUAUUGUGAAAGAAUUUUGAAAUAGAUAAAAAAUAAUUUGAGAAAAAGUAAUUUUAAUUAAAUGUAUCUUGUGUAUCAGAGUUUAUUAAUAAUUAUUUUUAAAAGAAAAAUAUCUCGAAUUUAAAAGAGAAAAUUAAUUAAAAAAGUUAUUGUAGCAAAAAUAUUUUUAAUAAUUAGUUUGAAAUGAAAUGUUAAUCGUUUUUAAAUAUAUCUAGUUUUUUUAGAAAUAAAUUUAAUUUAUAAAUUAAUUUUUAAUUUUUUUAUUUAUAAAAAUAUAAAAUUAAAAUUAAUUUUAAUAAUUUAAGGGAUAAGCUUUAAAUUAAAUUUUUAUAAAUAAUAAUAAAUUAAUUUUAUUGAUUUGAAAUUUUUAAAAUUUAUAUUGUUUAAAAAUUAUAAUUUUUUGUAAAUAAUUUCAUAUAAAAAAAAAUUUUAAUAAAAUUUUAAUUUUUUAUAAAAAAAUAAUUUUUAAUAAAGAGAAAUUAGUUAUAAUGAUAAAAUUAGUAUAAAAAUAAAUAAUAAUAAUAAUAUUUAAAUUUUGUUAAUUACUUAAAAGGAAUUCGGCAAAAAUUUAUAUUCACUUGUUUAUCAAAAACAUGUCUUUUUGGAAAUAAUUUAAAGUCUAAUCUGCCCACUGAUAAAAAUUAAAGGGCUGCAGUAUUUUGACUGUACAAAGGUAGCAUAAUCAUUAGUCUCUUAAUUGGUGACUUGUAUGAAAGAUUGAAUGAAAUAUAGACUGUCUUUAAAGUAUUUUUAUAAUUUAAUUUUUUAAUUAAAAAGUUAAAAUAAUUUUAAAAGACGAGAAGACCCUAUAGAGUUUUAUAAAUAAAAUAUAUUAUAUUUUUUAUAAAAAUUAAAAUAUUAAUAUGAAUAAUUUAUUUUGUUGGGGUGAUAGAAAAAUUAAAAUAACUUUUUUUAAAAAUUUACAUAGAUAAAUGAAUAAAUGAUCCAGAAUUUUUGAUUAAAAGAAAAAAUUACCUUAGGGAUAACAGCGUAAUUUUUUUUUUUAGUUCUUAUAAAAAAAAAAGUUUGCGACCUCGAUGUUGGAUUAAGAUAAAAUUUAAAUGCAAAAGUUUAAAAUUUUGAUCUGUUCGAUCAUUAAAAUCUUACAUGAUCUGAGUUCAAACCGGUGUGAGCCAGGUUGGUUUCUAUCUUUAAAAAAUAAAAAUAUUUUAGUACGAAAGGAUUAAAUAUUUAAAAUAAUUUUAAAAAGGGGAAUUUUAUUAAUUUUUUUUUAAAA
rnacentral:rRNA from 1 species